AACAGGAUUAGAUACCCUGGUAGUCCACGCCCUAAACGAUGUCAACUAGUUGUUGGGUCAAUACUGACUUGGUAACGUAGCUAACGCGUGAAGUUGACCGCCUGGGGAGUACGGCCGCAAGGUUAAAACUCAAAGGAAUUGACGGGGACCCGCACAAGCGGUGGAUGAUGUGGAUUAAUUCGAUGCAACGCGAAAAACCUUACCUACCCUUGACAUGGCAGGAAUUUUCCAGAGAUGGAUUAGUGCUCGAAAGAGAACCUGCACACAGGUGCUGCAUGGCUGUCGUCAGCUCGUGUCGUGAGAUGUUGGGUUAAGUCCCGCAACGAGCGCAACCCUUGUCAUUAGUUGCUACGCAAGAGCACUCUAAUGAGACUGCCGGUGACAAACCGGAGGAAGGUGGGGAUGACGUCAAGUCCUCAUGGCCCUUAUGGGUAGGGCUUCACACGUCAUACAAUGGUCGGUACAGAGGGUUGCCAACCCGCGAGGGGGAGCUAAUCUCAGAAAACCGAUCGUAGUCCGGAUCGCAGUCUGCAACUCGACUGCGUGAAGUCGGAAUCGCUAGUAAUCGCGGAUCAGAAUGCCGCGGUGAAUACGUUCCCGGGUCUUGUACACACCGCCCGUCACACCAUGGGAGUGGGUUUCACCAGAAGUAGUUAGCCUAACCGCAAGGGGGGCGAUUACCACGGUGGGAUUCAUGACUGGGGGUGAAGUCGUAACAAGGUAACC
rnacentral:rRNA from 1 species